GUGCACCAGUCGAGAAUAGUCUACAAUGGACGAAAGUCUGAUAGUGCGACGCCGUGUGUGCGAUUAAUUCCUUCGGGAUGUAAAGCACUUUUCUAUGAGAUAAAAGCUCUUUAGGUUAAUAGCUUAUUGAGACGGAUAUUAUUAUAGGAAUAAGCUCCGGCUAACUCCGUGCCAGCAGCCGCGGUAAUACGGAAGGAGCGAGCGUUGUCCGGAUUUACUAGGCGUAAAGGGCUAGUAGGCGACUAAUUAAGUUAUAUGUUAAAUCCCACGGCUCAACUGUGGUCCUGCAUGUAAUACUGGUUAGAUAGAGUACUGUAGAGGAAGGCAGAAUUCCUGGAGUAGCGGUGGAAUGCGCAGAUAUCAGAGAAUACCAAAAGCGAAGGCAGCC
rnacentral:rRNA from 1 species